ACCUCGAGUUCUGGCGCUUUCGACCUACAUGGUGGUUAAAGCUCGGUACUGGAGGUUC
rnacentral:pre_miRNA from 1 species